UUCCAGCUCAGGCAAUCAGCUGCCAGCUCCUCCCCUCUGUGAGCAAUGAUCCUGACUUCAGACCUUGCCUGAACAUUCUUCAUAGCACUUGCCUUCUUUUUCCUGAAAUCAAGGUCUGACAGUACUCUACUCCCAGAGCUAUCUCAUUGGCCACAUAUCCUGUAUGGUUGGUUGGUUGGUUGGCUGGUUUGGUUGGAGACAGGGCCUCCAUAUGCAGCUGUGGAACAUACUAUGUAACCAAGCUGGGCUUCAAACUCACAGAGAUCUGCUUGCCCCUAUCUCCCAAGCAAUGGAAUUAGAGAAUUAAUUCCACAAGAAGAGGGCAGUGGUGUGAAAGAACAAGAAGUGAAGAAGUUCAUGAGAUUUUUGAGUGGCCUGGAAAGUAUUGGUGGUGAGGAGGCAAGCACAUCAACUGGAGCAUUAGUGGAUGUUAAGGUACCUGCCAGAUAAGAAUGA